GACGAACGCUGGCGGCAUGCCUAAUACAUGCAAGUCGAGCGAACAGAUGAAGUGCUUGCACUUCUGACGUUAGCGGCGAACGGGUGAGUAACACGUAAGGAAUCUACCUAUAAGCGGGGGAUAACAUUCGGAAACGGGUGCUAAUACCGCAUAAUAUCUUCUUCCGCAUGGAAGAGGAUUGAAAGACGGCUCUGCUGUCACUUAUAGAUGACCUUGCGGUGCAUUAGUUAGUUGGUGGGGUAAUGGCCUAACAAGACGAUGAUGCAUAGCCGACCUGAGAGAGUGAUCGGCCACAUUGGGACUGAGACACGGCCCAAACUCCUACGGGAGGCAGCAGUAGGGAAUCUUCCGCAAUGGGCGAAAGCCUGACGGAGCAAUGCCGCGUGAGUGAAGAAGGCCUUCGGGUCGUAAAACUCUGUUAUAAGAGAAGAACAAAUUGUAGAGUAACUGCUACAGUCUUGACGGUAUCUUAUCAGAAGGCCACGGCUAACUACGUGCCAGCCGCCGCGGUAA
rnacentral:rRNA from 1 species